GGGUUGGUGUCGAUCGAC
rnacentral:siRNA from 1 species